GUCUUGUAAUUGGAAUGAUGGGAAUUUAAACCUCUUCCAGAGUAUCAAUUGGAGGGCAAGUCUGGUGCCAGCAGCCGCGGUAAUUCCAGCCCCAAUAGCGUAUAUUAAAAUUGUUGCAGUUAAAAAGCUCGUAGUUGAAUUUCUGCUGCAUUGCUUGUGUCCCUCUGGGGUCUGUGCAUGUGGCUUUUUUCGGACGGAGUUUCUUUGUCUGAAUGUUUACUUUGAGAAAAUUAGAGUGCUCAAAGCAGGCUUUCGCCUUGAAUAAUUUAGCAUGGAAUAAUAAAGUAGGACUUUGGUUCUAUUUUGUUGGUUUUAGGUACCAAAGUAAUGGUUAAUAGGAACAGUUGGGGGCAUUCGUAUUUAACUGUCAGAGGUGAAAUUCUUAGA
rnacentral:rRNA from 1 species